rnacentral:rRNA from 1 species
GACGAACGCUGGCGGCGUGCCUAAUACAUGCAAGUAGGACGCAGUUGCGAACGGGCGAGUACCGCGUAGGUAACUACCUAUCAGAGGGGGAUAACUACUGGAAACGCUAGCGAAUACCACAUACUAGUAGAUGGCCCUGCGUUGUAUUAGCUAGUAGGUCGGGUAAUUGCCUACCUAGGGAAGGAUGCAUAGCCGCCCUGAGAGGGUGGUCGGCCACACCUGGACUGAGACCCGGCCCAAGCUCCUACGGGAGGGAGCAGGAGGGAAUCAUCGGCAAUGGGGGGAACCCUGACCGAGCAACGCCGCGUGAGUGAAGAAGGUUUUCGGGUCGUAAAGCUCUGUUGUUAAGGAAGCGGUACUUAACCAGAAAGGGACGGCUAACUACGUGCCAGCCGCCGCGGUAAUAC